rnacentral:rRNA from 1 species
UAUGAUAAAAAUUAGUGGCAGACGGGUGAGUAAUGCAUAGGAAUCUACCUAGUAGUAUGGGAUAGCCACUAGAAAUGGUGGGUAAUACUGUAUAAUCCCUGCGGGGGAAAGAUUUAUCGCUAUUAGAUGAGCCUAUGUUAGAUUAGCUAGUUGGUAGGGUAAAGGCCUACCAAGGCAGUGAUCUAUAGCUGGUCUGAGAGGAUGAUCAGCCACACUGGAACUGAGAUACGGUCCAGACUCCUACGGGAGGCAGCAGUGGGGAAUAUUGGACAAUGGGCGCAAGCCUGAUCCAGCUAUGCCGCGUGAGUGAGGAAGGCCUUAG